UGUUUGCCUAUUAGGGCAUCCAUAAGCUCAU
rnacentral:piRNA from 1 species